rnacentral:misc_RNA from 1 species
GGAAGGAUCAUUAACAUGAAGUCUUCUUCAUAAACCCAAACGUGAACUUGUCUGAGCGCAGUGAUUGAUUGGUUUCUUCGCUUACGUAGCAAGUACGGUUGCACAUCAUAGCGGGCGUGCAGUUCCGUUUUGCAUGGUAUUGCGAUUUAACCAAGUGGGCUCAACUUUCGGACUGCUGCGGGUGCGUCCCGAGGUAUAGACCGACUGUUGACUCGUUCCUCCUGGCUUUCAGUAUGGGAUGAAACACAUUACAAUGUCUGCACUUCCUUUCGGGGAUUGCCGGCUUGUAUAUGCGGUGCAAUUUGCACUGGACUUGGAUUACAAAGAUCAGACCUUUUCAUUACUUCGGUCUUGAAGUAGGUCUUUUCUAAGUACUCCUUGUGCAUUUCAUCAUGCUAGUUGAAACGGGACCCUUCACUCGCUCUUUUCGUCCGACCAUCUGCGGACCUUAAUCUUAACCACUUGAACCCCCAAUACUGAUAUUCAAAUCGCUGAAGGCAACUCUUCUCUUUUGAGAUUUGACGCAUUCAACGAUUGAAAAAUAACAAAGAACAACUCUUAGCAACGGAUAUCUCGGUUCUCGCAACGAUGAAGAACGCAGCGAAAUGCGAUACGUGAUGCGAAUUGCAGAACUCAGUGAAUCAUCAAAACUUUGAACGCAAAUUGCGCUCCUUGGAUAGGCCGAGGAGCACACUUCUCUCAGAAUCGGUUCUCCAUCUUCCUUACGCUUGUUUGAAAUAUCUAUUUCAUGCAUUGUGUACUUGGAAGGAUUGUGGGCUUCUCAUGACACUUACGUGUUGCGAGUGGUCUUAAAUUCGUGGUGCCUCACUUCUGGACUCGAUUGCCAGGAUCUGAGCUUCACCCAAGGAUCGUUUUUGAUGUCUUUACCUUCGCGGUAAUUGAUCUCAAAACAAGCGUCCUUUGGUUUAAGUUCUAGUAUUUUGUCAAUCCAUAGUUCUUUAGUGUUCAGGCACGUCACCAACAGUGGUCCGUUUUCGUUCCAGUAUGAGUUUUUCUUGCCUCUUACUUGUUGAGUGUUGGGUUCUUCAGACAUAAUCUGCAUGUCUGACUUGGGCGCAGUUCACGAGACAGGAAAUGCGGGAAAAGCAAGACUAUUGCCGCGGUUCGGAGCACUUUUUUACAGAUCUGAGAUGAAGUGAGAGGACCCGCCGGACUUAAGCAUAUUAUUAAGCGGAGGAAAAGAAACUAACAAGGAUUCCCCUAGUAACAGCGAGUGAAGCGGGAAAAGCUCAAGCUUGAAACCGGUGACCCUAAGGGUCAUUCGGGUUGUAAUCUAAAGACAUGCCACCAGUGCUUGACCCAGGUAUAAAUCCUUUGGAAUAGGGUACCAUGGAGGGUGACAGUCCCGUCUUGGACCUGGAGUUCAGCAUGUACGGGGGUGUGUUCGAAGAGUCGAGUAGGUUGGGACUCCUGCUCUAAAUGGGUGGUAAGCUCCAUCUAAAGCUAAAUAUUGGCGAGAGACCGAUAGCGAAAAAGUACCGUGAGGGAACGAUGAAAAGAACUUUGAAAAGAGAGUUAACUAAGUGCUUGAAAUUGCUAAGAGGGAAGCGUUGGAAACCAGUGCUUUCUGUUCGAACUUGACCACGUUCUGGUUGAGUCCUGCGGACUGUAUGCGCAAGCUGUAGUUUGCACGGACAGAGAUUGGAAAGUGGUUUGGUUCGGGUGGAAUUGUCAGCAUCGGUUCGAACUGCAGGAUACUCCUUGCAAGAAGAGAGUCACCUUCGGGUGGAGCUCAGCUUAUGAGGGUUACUGUAGCUUGGACCGAGGGACUGGUGUCACUACCAACAAGUCGCCCCUCCAAGGGUGUCGCGGAGUUAUCCUGCGUCGGUCCAGGUCACAGGACAGCCAAGCUGUGCUGAGGUCUGGGCGGAUGUACGUGGUGGCUCUAUCGAUCUGCGACUUAGGGAUGCUGACGAAAUGGUUUUCAAUGACCCGUCUUGAAACACGGACCAAGGAGUCUAACAUAUAUGCGAGUGUUUGGGUGCUUAAAACCCAGAUGCGAAAUGAAAGUGAAGGCUGCUGUACGGCAGCUGAGGUAGGAACCGCUUCACCGCGGGGCACUAUCGACCGAUCUGUCACUCGUGAAAGAUUUGAGUAAGAGCAUAUCUGUUGGGACCCGAAAGAUGGUGAUCUAUGCCUGAACAGGGGGAAGCCAGGGGAAACUCUGGUGGACGCUCGUAGCGAUACUGACGUGCAAAUCGUUCGUCUGAUUUGGGUAUAGGGGCGAAAGACUAAUCGAACCAUCUAGUAGCUGGUCCCCUC